rnacentral:rRNA from 1 species
UGGGGAAUAUUGGACAAUGGGCGCAAGCCUGAUCCAGCCAUGCCGCGUGAGUGAAGAAGGCCCUAGGGUUGUAAAGCUCUUUCGCACGCGACGAUGAUGACGGUAGCGUGAGAAGAAGCCCCGGCUAACUUCGUGCCAGCAGCCGCGGUAAUACGAAGGGGGCUAGCGUUGUUCGGAAUUACUGGGCGUAAAGCGCACGCAGGCGGUUUUCCAAGUCAGAAGUGAAAGCCCUGGGCUCAACCCGGGAAUUGCUUUUGAUACUGGGAGACUUGAAUCACGGAGAGGGUAGUGGAAUUCCGAGUGUAGAGGUGAAAUUCGUAGAUAUUCGGAAGAACACCAGUGGCGAAGGCGACUACCUGGCCGUCGAUUGACGCUCAUGUGCGAAAGCGUGGGGAGCAAACA